UACGGAGGAUCCAAGCGUUAUCCGGAAUUACUGGGCGUAAAGAGUUGCGUAGGCGGCAUAGUAAGCGAGUAGUGAAAUGACGAGGCUCAACCUCGUGUCCAUUACUUGAACUGCUAAGCUAGAGAAUGAGAGAGGUCGCUGGAAUUUCUUGUGUAGGAGUGAAAUCCGUAGAUAUAAGAAGGAACACCGAUGGCGUAGGCAGGCGACUGGCUCAUUUCUGACGCUCAGGCACGAAAGCGUGGGGAGCGACCGGG
rnacentral:rRNA from 1 species